rnacentral:rRNA from 1 species
GACGAACGCUGGCGGCGUGCUUAACACAUGCAAGUCGAACGGGCCUUGUCCCCUUUUUUUUUGGGGGUGGGGUUAGUGGCGAACGGGUGAGUAACACGUGAGUAACCUGCCCCUCACUUCUGGAUAACCGCUUGAAAGGGUGGCUAAUACGGGGUGUUCUGGCCUUCUCGCAUGGGUGGGUUUGGAAAGAUUCGACCGGUUUUGGUUGUUUUGGUGGGGGAUGGGCUCGCGGCCUAUCAGCUUGUUGGUGGGGUGAUGGCCUGCCAAGGCUUUGACGGGUAGCCGGCCUGAGAGGGUGGGCGGUCACACUGGGACUGAGACACGGCCCAGACUCCUACGGGAGGCAGCAGUGGGGAAUAUUGCACAAUGGGCGCAAGCCUGAUGCAGCGACGCCGCGUGAGGGAUGGAGGCCUUCGGGUUGUGAACCUCUUUCGCCAGUGAAGAAGGUCCUGCUCUUUGUGGUGGGGUUGACGGUAGCUGGGUUAAUGAAGCGCCGGCUAACUACGUG